rnacentral:misc_RNA from 1 species
GAUGAAGAACGCAGCGAAAUGCGAUACGUAAUGUGAAUUGCAAAUUCAGUGAAUCAUCGAGUCUUUGAACGCACAUUGCGCCCCCUGGUAUUCCGGGGGGCAUGCCUGUCCGAGCGUCAUUUCUGCCCUCAAGCACGGCUUGUGUGUUGGGCCCCGUCCUCCGAUUCCGGGGGACGGGCCCGAAAGGCAGCGGCGGCACCGAGUCCGGUCCUCGAGCGUAUGGGGCUUUGUCACCCGCUCUGUAGGCCCGGCCGGCGCUUGCCGAUCAACCCAAAUUUUUAUCCAGGUUGACCUCGGAUCAGGUAGGGAUACCCGCUGAACUUAAGCAUAUCAUAAGCGGAGGA